AUAAAUAUGAUCUAAUAUAUUUUAUAUUAAUUUAAAGUAUCUUAGAGUAUCUCUAAAUUAAUAUAAAUAUUCUAACAUUAAUGAUAUGUAACACCCCGAAAUUUGAUUAAUAUAGUUAAUCAAAUAUUUUGUAUUUUAUUUAAUUAGUUAGUAUGUGGCGUUUUUAAUUUAAAAUAUAUUGAGUUGUAUGUGUAUAUGGUGUAUGGUGGAGUGUUGUGAGAACUCUUUGAUGGAUAGAAUAAUUAAAUUAAUUGGAA
rnacentral:lncRNA from 1 species